AACGAACACUGACGGUGUACUUAACACAUGCAAGUCGAACGAGAACAAUUCUUUUGAAUUGUUAAAGUGGCGAACGGGUGAGUAAUGCAUAGAAACAUACCUAUAUGUGGUGGAUAAUUACAAGAAAUUGUAACUAAUACAGCAUGAUUUUGAAAAAUAAAGACGGCUUAGGCUGUUGCGUAUAGAUUGGUCUAUGUCUCAUUAGCUAGUUGGUAAGGUAAAGGCUUACCAAGGCAACGAUGAGUAGCUGGUCUGAGAGGACGAUCAGCCACACUGGGACUGAGAUACGGCCCAGACUCCUACGGGGAGGCAGCAGUGAGGAAUUUUGCACAAUGGGCGAAAGCCUGAUGCAGUAACACCGUGUGAGUGAAGAAGGUCUUUGGAUUGUAAAGCUCUUUUAACUAGAACGAAACGUUAAUAUAAAAAUAUUAUAUUGAUCUGACGGUACUAGUAGAAUAAGCACCGGCUAACUCCGUGCCAGCGCCGCGGUAAU
rnacentral:rRNA from 1 species